AUUGAACGCUGGCGGCAGGCCUAACACAUGCAAGUCGAGCGGAGCGGCGGACGGGUGGGUAAUGCCUAGGAAUCUGCCUGGUAGUGGGGGAUAACGUACGGAAACGGGCGCUAAUACAGCAUACUAUCAGAUGAGCCUAGGUCGGAUUAGCUCGUUGGUGGGGUAAGGGCCUACCAAGGCGACGAUCCGUAACUGGUCUGAGCGGAUGAUCAGUCAAACUGGAACUGUGACACGGUGCAAACGCCUACGGGAGGCAGCAGUGGGGAAUAUUGGACUAUGGGCGAAAGCCUGAUCCAGCCAUGCCGCGUGUGUGAAUAAGGUCUUCGGAUUGUAAAGCUCUAUAAGUUGGGAGGCGUUACCAACAGAAUAAGCACCGGCUAACUUCGUGCCAGCAGCCGCGGUAAUAC
rnacentral:rRNA from 1 species